rnacentral:rRNA from 1 species
AAAUAAUACAAUUAAAUUAUUUUAGUUUUAAAUUAUUGAUAAUUAGUAAUUUUAUAUAUAAAUUUGAUAAGUGAAAUUUUAAAUUUUAAAAAGGUUAAUUAUUGUUAAUGAUUUAAUAAGUUUUAAGUAUAAACUAGGAUUAGAUACCCUAUUAUUUAAAAGGUAAGUGUAGAGACUAAAUUAGUAUUUGUUAGAUUCAUGAAAAUUAAAGAUUUUGGCGGUAUUUUAGUCUAUUCAGAGGAACCUGUUCUGUAAUUGAUAAUCCACGAUUAAAUUUACUUUUUUUAUAUAAAUUUACAUAUCGUCGUAGUUUGAAUAUUUUAUAAGAAUUUUAAUAUUCAAGAUUUAUGAUAGUAAAAGAAAUCAGAUCAAGGUGUAGUUUAUAAAAAAGUAGAAAUGGGUUACUUUAAUUUAAAUUUGGGAUAAUUAUUAUUAUAAUAUUUUGAAUUAGGAUUUGAUAGUAAUUUUAAUUAAUUAAUUAAAAUGAUUUUAGCUCUAAAAU